rnacentral:lncRNA from 1 species
ACACAUCUAACCACUCUUCAGCUGAUAUCCACUUGCUGACAAAUGAAUCUCUCUGGCCCCUGGACUGUGCCCUGAAACACAGCUUAAAACAGCAGAAUGAACAGUAAUCCCAGAGAUCCUGAGAUGAGAAAAGGGUGUUUGACUUAUUCAAAGAAGACCAAGGAAGCCCAAAGACCAGAGAAGAGUGCAGGAAAGGGGCGGCGGUCUGAGAUGCAGUCAGAGCAGUGGCAAGCCCCCAGAGUCUGUGGCAAAGACUUCAGGUUUCAUCCUGAAGAGGAAGACAGGUCUUUGGAGAGUUUUGAUCAAGGAAGUGAGAUGAAAUAUCUUAGGCUUACAAAGAACUACUCUGACAUCUAAAUGGAAAAUGGACUGAUGAAGCAAAAGAAGCCACAAGGAAGCCAGUUCAGAGGCUAUUGAAAUGCUCCAGAUACUCAGAGAGUGAGAGCCUUCAGAUUUGGGUGAGUGAUGCCAUUAGAACCAAGAUUUCUUCCAUUCUUCUGCUCUAUCAUUCUCAGCACAACAUGCUUUUCUCAUUAAGGCCGCUGUGGUUCGUCUUCUGCCUGGGAACUGGAUAAAAACAUCAGUGAAUACCCCAAAGAUUUUCAAAAAUGCUUGUUGAUAAAAUGAAGUCAGAAUGUGAGAUGAGCCCUUCCACCUGAGUGAUGUUGGUCUUGGCUGUGUGAUUUGCUUUGGCUGAUGAUAAGUUGAUGGAAGUGAUAGUAAGACAAUGCUGAGCCUCAUCCUCGGAAGUAUCUCUGCCUUCACCUGGCUUUGUGCACCACUGCCCUGGCUUUGAGAAGAACAUGAGCCCAGUAAAUUGUUAGUCCAGGAAGAAUGAGAGGCUGUAGAAGAUGGCAAGUGCUGUGGACUUCAAAGAAAAGAUUUCUGAAGUGUCAUGUUAUGACAAUUGUGAUGCUUCAAACUAUGUUGACUAUUCAUUUACAGCAUAAAGAAGAGUGAGCCACUUUAUCACUGCAGUAAUUAUAUUUUAAAAAUAAAGAAAAUAAAACAAAUGGAGUUUCCCACCCAAUCCAUGGAGACACAGACACGAAGUCUUACUAUAGAUGUGUGGCCAAUCCUUACAUUGCUUUUAUUACAAGCCUGGAAAUGACAAUAAAAUACAUGAACUUGAGAGUAUAUA